CGCAAACCAAACCAGCAGCCACUCCACACAAUCCGACCUCAUUCACUCGACAUGUCUUCAGACAUGACGACAAGGGGAAGCCACGACCUGCACAAGGGUGGGGACCAGCCACAGGUGAGUUGGGCGAGACUCGGGAGGAGUUCCAUCCACAGAUACUUUAAACACAAAGCAAAGAGAGAGAGAAAUGGACAGAGAAACAGAAUCCACUGGAGAGCCCGGGUCCUGACAGUUUUAGAUACAACACUUACAAUCUCUGCAAGUGCUCAGUGUUUUCCCAUCGAGAUGCAUGUCAUAUUCUUCAAAUGAUAGUUAAACUCACCCCGUACUUUUGGGAGCGUGUCUGGAGUCACUGCAGAAACUCAUAAAUCUCCUCUUUUUAACAUUAUGUUUCAGUUGUACUGGUGAAAAAGCACUUUGAAAUCAGAGGACUUUUUUAUUCAAAAUACUACGUUUUUACAGUACUUUAAGGUUGAAAAUAUUUUUAAAGAAACAUCAAAUAAUUGUCAGAGUCAAAGUGCUAGCGUUUCUAUCAGCAGGAUAUUAAUUAUAUGUGUUUAUAAAAACAAUACCCUUGCUUAUAAAGAUGAAUGAAGCUACGAAAGUCAAACACUUAUUUUGUUCUGUGACUCUGAAAAUUACACUCAUUUGUCAUGUAAUUAGAACUUUGGAUAAGUUGUUGUUUGUGUGUUUGUGCUUGGUAAUUACAAGAGAUACUAUCAGUAUAAACACCCCCGUUCUGUUUCUAGUUUUCACCAACAGUUGCACACCAAUAUGCACAUCAUACAUCAUGCUGCAUGUUAAAAAAAUGCAGUGCUUUCCACCACAAUUAAUCAUGUGAAAAGUGUGUACAGAAUACUGUGUGCCUGUAUUUGAGCAGUCAUAAUUAAAGCAAAUUAAACUGA